GUGGGUUUUAGUCCUCUGCCUCUUUAGGAUCAUCCCCCCUCAUCCACUAGUCCAAGUAUUAGAGAGGAGGGGUCUGGAAAGGCAGGGUAGUUUUGGAGAAGAGGGGUCUGGAAGGUGAAGGUAGUUUGAGAGGAGGGGUCUGGAAGGUGAAGGUAGUUUGAGAGGAGGGGUCUGGAAGGUGAAGGUAGUUUGAGAGGAGGGGUCUGGAAGGUGAAGGUAGUUUGAGAGGAGGGGUCUGGGAGGUGAAGGUAGUUUUGGAGAAGAGGGGUCUGGAAGGUGAAGGUAGUUUGAGAGGAGGGGUCUGGGAGGUGAAGGUAGUUUGAGAGGAGGGGUCUGGGAGGUGAAGAUAGUUUGAGAGGAGGGGUCUGGAAGGUGAAGGUAGUUUGAGAGGAGGGGUCUGGAAGGUGAAGGUAGUUUGAGAGGAGGGGUCUGGAAGGUGAAGGUAGUUUGAGAGGAGGGGUCUGGGAGGUGAGUGAUGGCCGACUCAGAGUUCUGUCAGAGAGAGAAGACCCCACCCCUCCUCCCCUGAGUAGGAACCUCAGAGUCCAAUUGAUCAUUUAUCAGUAGUGAUCAAUCAGUCUGUAUUGAUCAGAGAUCAGUAGUGAUGGGGGUCCAUGUCCAGGGUAUUGAUCAGAGACCAGUAGUGAUGGGGGGGUCCAUGUCCAGGGUAUUGAUCAGAGAUC
rnacentral:lncRNA from 1 species